rnacentral:rRNA from 1 species
UACGUAGGGGGCAAGCGUUGUCCGGAAUCAUUGGGCGUAAAGCGCGUGUAGGCGGCUGAGUAAGUCUGCUCUGAAAGCCCGGGGCUCAACCCCGGGAGGCGGGUGGAUACUGCUCAGCUCGAGUCCGGAAGAGGAGUGUGGAAUUCCUGGUGUAGCGGUGAAAUGCGCAGAUAUCAGGAGGAACACCAAUGGCGAAGGCAGCUCUCUGGGACGGUACUGACGCUGAGACGCGAAAGCGUGGGGAGCAAACAGG